rnacentral:rRNA from 1 species
AAACCAACAGGGAUUGCCCUAGUAACGGCGAGUGAAGCGGCAACAGCUCAAAUUUGAAAUCUGGCCCUCGGGUCCGAGUUGUAAUUUGUAGAGGAUGCUUUUGGCGCGGUGCCUUCCGAGUUCCCUGGAACGGGACGCCUUAGAGGGUGAGAGCCCCGUACGGUUGGACACCAAGCCUCUGUAAAGCUCCUUCGACGAGUCGAGUAGUUUGGGAAUGCUGCUCUAAAUGGGAGGUAAAUUUCUUCUAAAGCUAAAUAUUGGCCAGAGACCGAUAGCGCACAAGUAGAGUGAUCGAAAGAUGAAAAGCACUUUGAAAAGAGGGUUAAAUAGCACGUGAAAUUGUUGAAAGGGAAGCGUUUGCGACCAGACCUUUUCCUGGCGGAUCAUCCGGUGUUCUCACCGGUGCACUUCGCCAGGUUGAGGCCAGCAUCGGUUUCCGCAGGGGGAUAAAAGCUCUGGGAAUGUAGCUCCCUCGGGAGUGUUAUAGCCCUCUGCAUAAUACCCUUGCGGGGACCGAGGACCGCGCUUCGGCAAGGAUGCUGGCAUAAUGGUCGUCAACGAC